UCUCAAUUUGCAGUUCAUAUGAAAGAAGAAAAGCUAAGGACAUCACACUCAGUGGGAAAAAGAAACUGGGAAAAAGAACAUCACAGUCAAUGAUCACUCAUUCACUUAAGGUUUUCUAUGUGUUACUCUUGGUUAUUGGAUAUAAUCCAUGUUUGAUGAUCGGAGUUGCGUUGAAGACUAGAUGAAACUUUAAGGAAUGGAUUUUAUGGAUAUGGUUUCUUCAUCACAUCCUCUGCCAUACCAGGGAUCAUCCCAUGUUCAAGCAACCAAUGUAGGGAAUCGAAGUACAAAUAUAUUCCAAGGAGAGAGGAGACGAUCAACGAGUUCUUCACAAGCUACAUUACAACAACCUCACAUACUGAAUGAAAAUCAGGAACACACCCGCGUUCGUGCUCUAGAUGUACAAAGA